UACGAAGGGGGCUAGCGCUGUUCGGAAUUACUGGGCGUAAAGCGCACGUAGGCGGCUUUGUAAGUUAGAGGUGAAAGCCCGGAGCUCAACUCCGGAACUGCCUUUAAGACUGCAUCGCUUGAACGUUUGGAGAGGUAAGUGGAAUUCCGAGUGUAGAGGUGAAAUUCGUAGAUAUUCGGAAGAACACCAGUGGCGAAGGCGACUUACUGGACAACUGUUGACGCUGAGGUGCGAAAGCGUGGGGAGCAAACAGG
rnacentral:rRNA from 1 species